AUUGAACGCUGGCGGCAUGCUUUACACAUGCAAGUCGAACGGUAACAGGCCUUCAGGCGCUGACGAGUGGCGAACGGGUGAGUAAUGCAUCGGAACGUGCCCAGUCGUGGGGGAUAACGCAGCGAAAGCUGUGCUAAUACCGCAUACGAUCUGCGGAUGAAAGCGGGGGACCUUCGGGCCUCGCGCGAUUGGAGCGGCCGAUGUCAGAUUAGGUAGUUGGUGGGGUAAAGGCUCACCAAGCCAACGAUCUGUAGCUGGUCUGAGAGGACGACCAGCCACACUGGGACUGAGACACGGCCCAGACUCCUACGGGAGGCAGCAGUGGGGAAUUUUGGACAAUGGGCGCAAGCCUGAUCCAGCAAUGCCGCGUGCAGGAAGAAGGCCUUCGGGUUGUAAACUGCUUUUGUACGGAGCGAAAAGGCUCCCUCUAAUACAGGGGGCUCAUGACGGUACCGUAAGAAUAAGCACCGGCUAACUACGUGCCAGCAGCCGCGGUAACAC
rnacentral:rRNA from 1 species